rnacentral:lncRNA from 1 species
GGCAGGGCCAACCCACAGGAACUCAGGUGCAUGCAGUGCACCUGCAUGACCAGAAGGGAUGGAGCCAGGAUCCACUCCUUCCCAGACCUCACUUAAGUGUUGGCAGGGGAGGUAAUAGUAUCUUGUUGGAGAUGCCUGUGUAUCUGAGGUCUUCUGAAGGUGCCUCCCAGGUUAUCUUUGAUCUUGCUGAUAAAACUGUCCUAACAUUAGAGCUGAAAUCUCACCUUGCACGUAAAGGACCUUGUGCGCACGCAGUGUCUUUUCUGGCUUAUCAAAGACAGUUUUAAAAAGAGAAAUGUUAAGGAAACUUUACUGAAUGAGAUCUCCAGUGUCAGAACCCCCAGAUACUAUGUGAGAUGACAGGCAAAAAGGUGGAGACAGGGCAGACGCCUGUAUUCUCCUGUGCUGCCUGACAGGUGUCUGUCUGUCUGUCCCAGAUUCGUGCUCCAGAGCUGGCCUAACUAUUCUGCUCUGUGUUCUCAGUAUCCUGUCAGUGUGGGGGCCUCAGUGCUCUGACUCCAGUGCUACUAAAAUCAGAUGACAUCUUCCUGAGCCACAGUAAUAUGGUGAAGCCAGGGGAUAAAUGGAGUCAGUUCAUGGGUGGUGAACCAUCUGGCAAGCAGUGAACCUGGGAAAGGCAGAGCAUAUGCUCUAGGCAAAAUCAAAUGUCUUUUCAGAUAUAAUAGCUUCUCUGUAGAUAUCUUGUCUGAAAAAGAACAACUUUGUUUUUUGGUUUUGUUCAUGAUUUAGGAAAUUCUCCUUAUUUUUUCACUGGUGUAUGUACCUUUGUAAAGUUCUGUACAUGUAUGAAGAUAGAAAAGUAGUUAUGACUUCAUUUUUUGUGGCAACUCUAUGAUAUACCAUCAGUAAUGAUGAAUUAUGUUUCAGAUAUCAACAACGUUCAAACCAAUUUAGGACUUUGUAUCUCUUUUCAUUAAUACAGUGGGUGUUUCAGAUGCCAUAACCAAAAUAUCUAAAAUAUUUCUGAGAGCUUUUUUAUGAAGUUCACGGCACAUAACUUUGCUCCUUAGGUAUAAUCGUACAAUAUAAUAUGGUAUAAUGCAGCCACUAUAAAGAUAAUAAUUGGACAGGUGGAAUUUUCCUAAUAACGUGAUCUGAGUCUGUGAAAUCGGGUCAAGUAAAUCAUAGGUAUUUCCAACAUCAAUUAAAAAUGUGUUUAAUCUUGAUUUUUCUGUAAUAUAAGCCAGUCAAAUGUGCUCUUACAGACCUAUUUCUUUAACAUAAUUGUCCUUGACAAACAGUCAACCAGGGAUGAUAAGGAAUUUCCCUGUCUCAGAUCCCAGGCUUCAUUGUUCCUCUUCUUCCUGGCUUUCAUGCCAUAUGUUACUUUGUAUCAAAUGGUGUAAUGAUUACAUAAUACAUUUUGGAAAAACAGCUCUGUUGCAUCUAUUCUUUAUUCUCUCAUCUCCCUUUCUCUCUUUGUCAUUACUGAAAAAUAAACUCUAUGGGCAAUCCUCUUUUUGCAG